rnacentral:lncRNA from 1 species
AUCCAAGCACCGCCUGCAGAGAGCUUUUUCUGUUUGUUCAGAGUUGCCUCCAGCUUGGAGUUAGAACUAGCAGGAAAAUAAGGAGCACCCUGGAAAUCAAUUUCUCCUCUCUGUACGGGAUUUUUUCCAGUCUAGGUACAGCUGCUUAACUCCCCCAACUCAGAUGAUCUUGUGAAAUGACAGCCACAUCCAUGUGGUUUCUCCCUAUAAAUAACAUUAGGGGAAAUAACCCUUUUUUGCACUCUGUUCCUAAGAACCUCAGCCUUUAUUGUGUCUUAGUAAAGCUGAUCUGCUUUCAUUUUAGUUUAUUGCAUUUCUGGUGUAAUAGCCUCUUAAGAUAGAACUAUUAAUACAUAUGUACUGGUUAAUGCCUGUUAAUGCAGAAAAUGGCACUUUGUUCUUUCAAUGUGUUUCCCUCAGUGUCACAGGGUAUAACAGUUUGAUAGGAAAAGGUCAUCUGACAUUAGUCAAAAAUGCAUUCUCCCCAUUUAAAAUGUGUAUGUAUAAUUGGUUGCAUAGACAAAUGUCACC